CCUACGGGAGGCAGCAGUGAGGAAUAUUGGUCAAUGGACGAGAGUCUGAACCAGCCAAGUAGCGUGAAGGAUGACUGCCCUAUGGGUUGUAAACUUCUUUUAUAUGGGAAUAAAACGCUCCACGUGUGGGAUUUUGUAUGUACCAUAUGAAUAAGGAUCGGCUAACUCCGUGCCAGCAGCCGCGGUAAUACGGAGGAUCCGAGCGUUAUCCGGAUUUAUUGGGUUUAAAGGGUGCGUAGGUGGAUUGUUAAGUCAGAUGUGAAAUGUUGGGGCUCAACCGUAAAAUUGCCGUUGAUACUGGCAGUCUUGAGAACAGUAGAGGUAGGCGGAAUGUGUGGUGUAGCGGUGAAAUGCUUAGAGAUCACGAAGAACUCCGAUUGCGAAGGCAGUUCACCAGACUGCAACUGACACUGAGGCUCGAAAGUGUGGGUAGCAAACAGGAUUAGAUACCCUUGUAGUC
rnacentral:rRNA from 1 species